CGAACUAUUUUACAAUUUAUUAUUCAUGAGUUAGCGCACGGCUCAACCCUUGAGCCAUUCCCCUAUACCCGGAACAAUUUGGAUUGGUUCCGGGUUUUUUUUA
rnacentral:sRNA from 1 species